GGAAGGGGAGAGCCGCGAUUGGCCAGCCAGGGGAGGGCGUGACCGCGAUUGGCCAGCCCAGCAAUGGCGGGGCCGCGAUUGGCCAGACCGGGAAGGGCGGGACUGGGGUGGGGCUUGAGCGGCGCUGAGGGCGGAGCGGGGCGGUGUGGUUCACGCUGAACCGUGUACGCAGGACCACACAUGUUUUAAACACCUCCGGGGGUGGUGGCUCCACCACUGCCCUUGUCCAGUGCGGUUUCCAGUUUGAGCUUCACCCGAACAACCUGUUCGCUCUUGUUCUGCCACUUUACAUUUCAGUCUCUUCUCCCGAGCGGUAAGAACAGCUCAGGAGCAAUCCCCACUGAUGUUUGUGAUGUAAAUGCAGCCGUGUCUGGAGCUUUGGACAAGAGGUGCUAUGAAGAAGUUCUUCUCCUUCAGUGGCAGAACAGGCAGCUCUGGACUGCUGAUUCCUGGGAAACUACACCAUGAGAUACAGUCUUGAUUUCUCUGAGACAGUAAAUAGAAGCCUUUAUUCAGGCAGUGCAGUCAACCUCCUGAACAGUGCACUGAAAAUAUAAUUCCCACCAUCAAGAUGCACUUGGUCUGAAGAACUUGCUGCAACAUCUGUAUGUUGUGCUAAAGAAAGCUGUGUGAAGACUCUAAGCUUGUAAACUGAAUUUUUUAACGUUAGUUUUUGUUGGCAUGACUCUGUUAUAUUCAGUUAACAACUAGAUCCUAAAAUAUGCAAGCAUUUGUGUGUGUAUGAUUAAAUAAAUAAACUCACUAAUGACCAUUCUGUAUAUACACAGCCAGGUAAUUCUGUUGUCAAGUUUUCAGACAUUGCAAUUUAAAAUAAAGCUACUGGCCAACCGAGACAGCUACUCUUAGGUACUCUAUGAGUAUGGUUGUAUUUUUAAGGUUUUUUUUUAGAAAAGAGGGAGGUAUCAAAUAACUGUAGAAAAAGGAAUGUGUUUAUGUUUGAGAUGAGCAAUCCUGUUAUGAUAUUUCCAAGUAUCCUUCUAAUGCAGCGUGUUUUCAAUAAGUUUCAGAGAGAUUAAAAGGAAAAUAAAACAAAAUUAAAUCAAUGAAAAUGCAGGCAGAGCCAGGUAAGAGGGAAAUAAAAAAUGAAUCACGAGAAGUAUCUGUGUAAAGAAGCAAAGUGGGAAAAUGAAAAUUUUAAUGCAAAUAAGUAUCUGUGCCAGUCUACUUUUUAGAGACUGCUCUCUUUCAAUGGAAGUUCAGUUAGCAGAAACCCAGGAUUAUUAAAACGAAGAAAAGGGAACCAUUAUUUGAAAGUAAUAUGAAUUUAACUGAUGGAAGAAAUAGGUCCAUAAACUGUAGCAAUCUUUAUGAAUACUAAAUAUAGUUUGAGAAGUUUGAAUUGCUCUUUUAAAUAUCUUGGCUUCUUCUGUACACUUAUGAAUCAUGACAGUUCUCCAUUUAUGAAAUGUGCAACUUAGUGGAUUUCUGCUAAAUCUGAAAUGCUGAUUCUUUUAAAGUGUUGUCCAUAUUCCUAUUUGUUCUCAUCUGAUAUCAUUGUCUAAAGCCUUACAUUUAAUAGUGUAUCUCAAGAAAUAUUGUGGAAUCUCUUGACCUAUUAUGCAACAGUCCAGUGGUGUUAACUUAUUUAGCCAGGAUGUAUCUGAGGUAUUUCAGCAUCUGCCUUAGCACAUGCAUAUAGCUGUAAUUGAAAUAUAGGGUGUGGGUUGCAUUUUAGACAUCCACAGUGCUUUAUCUUAUCU
ensembl:lncRNA